rnacentral:lncRNA from 1 species
UUAUAGAGAUAGUCCUAAAUAGUAUCUUUGCCAUUUGAUGUAUAAGAGUCAUCUAUACAUCCAUUUAUUGUUCUGAAAGGUUUCUUCCAAAGAUUGACUUUCAGGGUAUAUUUCCAACAAUCUCCCACUUGCACUAAAGUCAAUUACUAGUGUAUCUUAUACAUGCUAGUUGAGAGAGCUUAUGCUCGUAGGUUAACUUGGUUAUGUAUUAAUCCUUUUUAUUUAAAAGGGAUUCACUUAUCAAAUGUUUCCAAAACAUUUGAUGAUGUCUCUUUCUUGUGUUCGAAUACUUUGAUGAGACAUUGAUUCCAUGGCUUGAGCUAUCGCCCCAUUACGUCGUAGUGUCCUACUAACGACCUUAUGGUUUGGAUUCAAUCAUUGGUUCUAAAAGAACCCCUUCCAUUCUAAACACCUUUUGAAGCAGUUUCUAAAACAAUAUAUCGUCAUAUAUUUCGUUUGUAUACUUUAUACAAACUUUGCUCCAACCUUGAGACCAUUGUAGUACAAUACUUACAAUACAUUCAUAUGAUUAGUACUUCAUCCAUUAUGAAGUUCCAUUUGUUAAAAUGGGUUAUUUUCACUUUGGUUAAUAACCUAAGUGAAUGCACGCUUCCAGAGUCCUACUCUGAUGUUCCUUUCUUAAAGGCAAUAAUACUUUAUCAGUUGCUUUGGUUCUGAUCCUGGGAUAUAGUAAUAUCUUAAAGUGACAACCCCUGUGGUUCCUUACUUUUGGAUAUCUACUCACAAGUCCAUACAUGUGUCCCUUUUGUGAUUUUGUGACACAUUCAUUAUAAGGGUUACGAAAGUGAUUUUUCUAUCAUAUAGGAAAAUGCUUUCUUAAAUCUUCAACAUUUGAGAUUUAAUCUCCCCAAAUAACAUCCUUGAGAUAGCCUUGCUAUAUCAAUAAGUCCAAUUUCACUAUAUCAAUAAGUCCAAUUUCAAGUCUAUACUUCAAAAUUGACCGUGUCAUGUUUUGUCAAUUUUCGAGUAACAUCUAUGUUCUAUCAAGUAUAUCAAAUAGACUUUAUUCAUAUAUUGUUGCUCAAAUUAUGACAUCACUCCCACUGGCCUUGUUGUAACUUAGCAGUCAUUCAAAAACUUAACAAUUAUAUUUUCUUGAUUUGAAUGCAUAUUGCUCCCACUAACUUGUCUUGGAUCUAUUGACAAUCAUUAAGAUCCAUUAGCUUAUUGAUGAUGUCUCAACUAUUUUGAGACUAUCAACAACUCUAGCUAACACAAGUUAUUUAAACGAAUCAUACACAAAAGAAUUCCUUCUCAAGUAAUUCCUUUUGAAAUGUGUGACUUGCUUUGUCAAGUCUAUUCAUUUAAAUUAUAUGGUGUCAUACACCAUACUACAAGUUUUAGUCAUACUAAGACCUUUAAUGUAGUCAUAUAAGAAUUAUCCAAAUCUUUAGUGGAAGCAUGGCUCCUACUAAGGAUAUAGAAACUCAACCAUUCCUUCUAGGUGGUUGAUAUAAUUCUUUAUCAAAACUACAUAGAGCGUUAUAGUUACAUAAGAUGUUGAAUUUGGAUUGUCUUGUUGUUAAACUAUAUGUUGUGACUCAUUUUCCCUUUGUUUCAUCAAAUUUGUCCAUGGGCUUUGUUAUUAGCUUGUUCUCAUAAAAGAGAAUGAUGGACAACUCCCAACAUAUAACCAUUUUAUGUUAGGUUGACAAAACCAACAUUCAAAGACAAUUCUUUAGAAUGUUACACAACAUAGAAUUUUAACGUUUGAAGAGCUUGAGUCCUUUAACAAUUAAAAUUACAAACUCUUAAUAAUAGUCAAGUACUAUUAUUCUUUAGACAACUAUAAACCAAUCAUAUUUAAGUUUAUAUCCAUUUUCACACCUCCCACUAUUUCUCAUGACUUUAAUGAGAAAUCACUUCAUACAUUCAAAAUGUAUAAACGUGGAGUAUACGGGUAGAGGACAUUGUGUAGUAGCUUUAAAACCUUUCAAGCUCGUUUGUUUCAAUCUUCACUAAGUUAAUGUCUCGUUAUUAAGUGACUAAAGUCUUUAAACAUUUUAUAGAUUUAGACACUUCUUUCUUGGUUUAAUCACUAACACAAUUGACAUUUUAAAACAAUUUAAAGAAUGCCCAAUUAGUUGUUCAAAACUACUAAUUGAAUCAAGAAUGAUCUUGAUUAUUGUGGUUUAAGUGAUAACCAUAUAAGAAACAUUUUUCUUAUUACUUAUAUCAUUAUAAUGUGAUCUUCCUUUUCUUCAAGAAAGGAAUCUCUAGAUCUUUGUCAAUUCUUAUAGGACUCAUAGGUAGACAAUUGGAACCAAAUCUAAAGAUUCAUUGUAUCCUUCUAUGUCCUACAUGUGAGAUCUAUCCAUAAUUGAUAAGCCUAAAGUUUGGUUAUCACAUUACAAUAAGUGAUAUAAAUCUUGUAUCUCAACUAGGAUACAACAAGACAAUAUUCAAUUCAUAACACUACUUUAAGGAAAUAAUAUAUUAGAAGGCAUUCAUCACAUUACAUUAAUAUGAUAAUUCAAACAUUCAUAAUGUUUAAUACAAAAAGAAUUAGCUCUAUACAUUUAGAGACUAAUUAAAUACCUUCAUACAUUUAGGCAUUAAUAGUGGUCUUCCAUCAUAUGAAGCCACUUAAUAAGUUCUUAACAAAAUAAGAAAGUUUAAAGACUCUUUAAAUGCCUAACAAACUUCCUAAGUAGUAAGCAAAAAACAUGGUGGCCGAACCCUUCUCCACACUUUUCUUUGCUUGUUCCUCUUCUACUUGGCUCCUCCACCUAUAUACAAUUAUACAAGUAAUUAGCCCUUUAUAUCAAAUAUAAAUUUUAGAAGAUCUAACAAUUAGAAUUGACAAUAAGAACAUAAACCAUACCUUGUGGCUUGUCCUUAAGAGUUGCAAGGUAUAACCUGCAAUUCCUCUUCCAAUGCCCCUCCUUUCCACAGUGGUGGCAAGUCCCCUUGGGCUCCUUUGCCUUCUUUUUCCUCACUCCUCCUUGCGGCUUAGGAGUGGGAGACUUCUUCUCCUUCCCUUUGCCUUUGCCUUGCGGCUUGGCCUUGGAAGAUGAUGGCUUGUUGUAGGCUACUGCAGCAGUCCCUACAACGUUCUCUUUCUUCAUAGUCUUCUCGGCAGUUACUAACAUGUUUAGUAACUCAGAGAGAGUACUAUCCAUCUUAUUCAUAUUGUAGUUCAUUACGAACUGCGAGAAUGAAUCAGAAAGAGAAGCCAAUAUGAAGUCCUGGGCCAAUUCCCCGUCAAGUGGAGUACCUAGGUUCUCCAAUUGUUCAAUGAGUCCUAUCAUUUUCAGUACAUGUUGAUGCACUGGAGCCCCUUUGACCAUCUUGGUCUUCACAAGUUCACUGAUAGUGCUAAAGCGACGGUUGCGCGUCCCUUCACCAUAUAACUCCGUAAGAUGGAGUAUGAUGGAAGAUGCACUGUCCAUGCCCUCGUGCUGUCUCUGUAGCUCCUCAUUCAUGGAAGCCAACAGAUAGCACUUGGCUUGUGUAUCAUCCUCAACGUGUUUAUCAUACUUAGCACGUUCAUCCUCAGUGGCCUCAGGGCCGAGAGGUAUGUGAGGUGGGGCAUUGUCUAGCACGUAAACAAUCUUCUCCAAUGUUAGGAGAAUCUUGACAUUACGAUACCAUGAUGGAAAUUGUGCCCCUCUAGGCAAUGUUUGUCGAGUAUUUUCGUGAGUGUGCUUCCAACCAUAUCUAAAUACAUAAACAAUAAAAUAAUUAGUUUGAUUGUUGAUUAAGUCAAACGAUUCGGGUCUUUAAACCGAAUGACACCACCCACCAUUUUUGGCAAAUUCCAUAUCCCUCAAGAUGGAAUCUGGGAGAUUUCAAAGAAAGCUCCUAGCGGGUUAUGGGAGGCUCACUAUUACCAAGCCCACCUCACGAUGAUACGAUGUCGGCUAGCAAAAAUAAUAAUGAGAGGGUAUUAUUACCCAUUCACAACAACCUCUUGUGAUUACCCAUCUUUUUGGCCUCUAGAGAACCAUGCCUCACGAUGAUACGAUGUUGGCACAAUUUCUCUUAGUUAAGUUUCGACCCACCAUGCCGGUUUAGAUAGGGGUUCAAGUAUGACCUCACGAUGAUACGAUGUUGGCCACACUCGUUGCCUACCUUCACCUCAUCAAAUGUUUAUAUAGACUCCUCCUGAGUAUAAGCAUGCACUUUGCACUCCCCCAUGAUAGGGUGAAGGCGGUGUACAAGUCAUAAACGAUUGGAGCCUACCACGGUGGAAGGCCACGAAAAAGUGUUCAAAGCACUCUUACGCUUUCAACUUAAUAUUGUAUGUUGGUUGAGGGAUUUUAAGGUCUCAUCAAUUUUAUUUAUUUAAUCACAUUCAAAUAAAUUGUGUCCUAUUAUAACUACUAGUCCAAUAGUUAAUGAAAUUAGUAGCAUAUGAUAUCCCCACUAUUCGUUUUCAUAAAACAAAUCAAUAUCAAAACAUUUUUCAAAAUAUUGGAGAUAUAUAUAACUACUAAUUGUAUUCAUUAUAGUUUAGUAGCGUAUGAUACUCCCACUAUUUGUUGUAAGAAAAACAAAUCAAUAUCAAAAACGAACUUUUCAAAUAUUGGAAGUAACUACUACUACUACGGUUUUUGCAUUCCUUUCAAUUUGGACUUUAUAGUUAUCUUAGGCUCUUGGAUGACCAUGGACUUAUUAGGUUAUUGCAACAACGAGCCAACAUUGUUAAAUAAGAACUCGGGGAGGUUGUGUCAAUUUAAUUACGUGCUUUUCAAUCCAAUUAAAACAUUUUCAUUGAGCCAUUAGAAAUGAAAGACGGUCAUUCAUUGCUAAUUAGGGCGUUGGACCCAAUUAAUCGUUAAUCUCAUGACAAAACCCUCUUUUAAUCAUGUCACCUUACCAAUAGUUAAAGAAACUCUAGUCUAGCACUAGAGGGAAUCAACUAACUAAAAGAGAUUAAGAAGUAAUAAGAAUUACAAACCGAUUUGUACAAAUUCCUACAAAUUACACAUACUAAGAGGGAGAGAUAGAUUAAUGUCCAAGGUGACAAGGUCCAAUUGAAACAGUAAUUAAAACACAUUCCCAAGGUUCAAACAAUUUGAGUUUAGCACCUUAUCUCAUAGCUCAAUUAUCGUUUAAGGCAUAAGUCCAUAGUCACCCAUUUUUCUAACUAUUUAAUCACAUUAAAUAAUCAUAUGGAAUGCAACAUAAACAUUUAGAUUUAGUGCAUAUGGGCAUAAUAUUAUUAUGAGUUUAAACAACUAAUAAAAUUAAAAUCAAAUAUUUUAACUUUUCAAAAUAGUAGGGGCCUAAAUGCAAAUAUGAAAAGUUAGGGGUCAAACCGUAAAUACUUGAAAGUAAAUAUCAACUUUUCAAAAAUUACAAAAUAGCCCCACAAGUGGGUAAUCCACUAGGGGAGGCCGGCCACAUUAAGGGGAGAUGGGAAGUCUCACCCAUCUUGCAUUAAACCAAGUUAAAGUAGAAAAAAUUAAAUUUUGCUUGUCACUUAGUUUUGCUUUAAAGACUUUAGAGAAAAAGGUGAUGAAAAUUCUCCUAGUCAAGUCUAGGAUUUAAUAAAUUUUGAGAUGGCUAUGGAUGGUAUGUACAUCAUCCAAAACCACAAAACAAUGCAUAAAAUCCAAAUAAAACCAUUUUCACCAAAACCCAAACCAUGAACACCAAGAACAAAACCAUGAACACAUUUUCAAGAUUUGUAUAUUCUUGGUGACUUUUCAAACCCAAAACAAAAGUGACAAGAACUCUACCUUCUAACUUUAAAGUGUGUGUGUGUGAUUCAAAAUAAAAACACAAACACAUAGCCAAAAUCCCCUUUUUGCCGUGCCCCCCCAAUGACUCAAAACCCCAAAAAUUGUUCUAAACUCAUUCUUCAUUCAUGCAUACAAAACACCUUUUUGCAUACAUAUAUUUCUCAACUAUUGAUUCAUAUUUUUCAACUAUUGAAAAACAAAAGAUAAACAUACUUUGAAUGAAGCAAUAACAUGUCAUACAUAAAAUUAAAACCCAUAUACAUAAAAUCCAAAAGGACACAUCAUACAUAAACCUUUGGCUCUGAUACCACUUGAAGGGAAUUCUAUGAGAUUCAUGUGGGAUUUCUAGUGACUAGCAUGCAUAUACAAUUCAAAAUUUAUAUACGAAAGCAACGGAAGCAUGUUAUCAAAUAAUAUCAAAGCUCUAGUCAUGAAAGUCCCCUUCAAGAUGCAUAGGUUUAUGUAAGAUGCAUCAAAAACAAAUUUAUAUAAGAACAAAGUUUAGGAGUAGUUUUAUACCUCUUGAUCUAGAUCUUAGACCAAGGAUGGACCACCUCCAAGCCCUUUGCUCCUUGAAGUCCUUGAGCCUAGCCUCCUUCCUUGCCUCCUCCACUUUGUUUAGUAUGAGUGCUCCUAGGUUCUCUUCAAGUUUCCAAAAUUAAAAACCUCUAAAGAUCCUCACCCACUAGUGUAGUGAGAAGGAUGAAGGAAUAACCAAAGGGGUGAAAAGAUGAUUAGCUAAAUCCCCCUAAGGUGGCCGGCCCUUUGAGUGUUAGAGAGAUAUUUUUCUUUUUCUCUUUGGUUCUUUUAACACUUCAAAAAACCCUAAUGAAACAUUUGCUAUAAAGUUCCUUUUAUAGCCAAAAAGAAACAAGUCAACAUUUGACCUUUCUCUCCCUCCUUUGGCCGGCCCCCUUUGUGUUGUUUGGGCUUUGGGCUUUUAUUUAUUUCAAGUCAUCCAAUGCUUGAAUAAAAGCCCAAUGGGUUUAGACCCAUUGGGCCCAAUUAAACCCGAAUGUUUCUUUAAGCCCAAAACGAUCUUAUAUCGCUUUUAUGAUUUCUUUAGACUUUCUAAUUAAUCACAACACUUAAUUAAUCCAAUUAAUUAUUUCCAUCAUCCAUUAGUUACUCACUACAAGAGUGUAUUGGUGAACAAUCGUUUUAGGUUCUAAUUAGCAAGGCAGUGAGGUGAUUGGCACCAAUCCAAUGAUUAUAUUUAAUCCAAUCACUUAGUGAAUUAAAACUUACUUUUAAUUCACCUUCUUCUUUGAUGACUACAUUUAAUCAUCUAGAAGAACUCACAAGCCAUGAGUGACAUCUAACCAUAUAUCAUGGCUACCCAAGCUAAUGUAGAAGUUGUUCGGAGAACCUAUUCAGUUGGAAUUACAAUGCAAUUCGAUCCUUCUCUAAAACAAUACUCUCAAUCACAUCACUAGGGUAUGGAUAUAUUAUGUCAAACCCCUAAUGUGAUUAUUCCUUCUUAUAUGAUUCCAUUGAGUCGUAUAGGAACGCUUUCCUUUAUUACGCUCGAUACUUCGGCCGAAGAUUCCAGAAUCAUAUCUUAGAGUAUUCAUCCUCUCUUAACGAGGAUUAGAGAUUCCUUGUUGCGUAUUCACUUGCCUUCAUGACUAAGUGGCUUAACCCCGACUAUGCCAUGGACACCCGCGGAUGGAGUGACUUUGACAUAAUCAAAGAUCAAGUACUUAACCACAAGACAACGAUGAUGCCUCAGGUCAAAGGACUACUUACAUUAUUCCAACUAUUAGAGUUACUUGCUUGACAUGUGAGUAGACCUCUAUGCAAGUACUCUCGUUCGAUUGUGUUCAGUGAACUCAUUCCCUUAAUGAGCACCUACAUACUUGUCUUAGUGUCACUACACGAAUGGGAUGAGACUUUCUAUCCUUCUAAUCGAAGCGGACAUAGUAUGUACCGGUCUAUGCAUUGUCAGUAUCCCUCCGACAAUUCUAUGACCAGGAACCUUUUGGACAUGAUGGUUAUGUGAAGAAGGUCUCUGUAGUCUAACUUCAUUAGAUUCCUUCUUCAAUCGAUCCAUUGUCCAUGGAUUCACCAUUUAGGACAUAUAUCGUUUAUAGAGAUAGUCUUAAAUAGUAUCUUUGCCAUUUGAUGUAUAAGAGUCAUCUAUACAUCCAUUUAUUGUUCUGAAAGGUUUCUUCCAAAGAUUGACUUUCAGGGCAUAUUUCUAACACUCUCGUCAAGCAUGAGUUACGUAUUAAACCUGGAUGUAAACCUUUCCGUUAACCACCUCGACGAUUCUCGAUCGAAGUGCA